CUCACUCAAUGUGACCCUAGAGGUCCACAACAUUAAGGAGCAGGAGAGGACCCAGCAGGACAUCCCGGUAAGAAGCCAUCCCCCACCCACACUAUAAUCCUAAGAAGAUCUCCAACAACAUCAUGUUACUAAAGCUGGAGAGAAAGGCCAAGCAGACUGCAGCUGUGAGGCCCCUCAGCAUUCCCAGGGGCCAGGCCCAGCUAUUACAGCGGGGCUGCCCAGAUUUGUGUAGGGGAUCUGAAGAAGAUGAAGAACAGCUUCAAGGGGGACUCCAGGAGCCCCUUCGUCUGUGAAAACAUGGCUCAGGGUAUUUCCUCCUAUGGACAAAACAGCGGGACCCCUCCUGCAGUCUUCAUGAAGGUCUCACACUUCCUGUCCUGGAUCAAGAGAACAAUGAAGCACUUCCUCCUUUCUCCUCCAGCCCUCCUUCCCCCUAAACCCCAUGCUGUAUAGUUUCUCACUCAUACCCUUUGGUGCUUGGCCCUCUGCAAGGGCUGAAUCUGAAGGCUGCCCAUUAUAAAAGGACAAACUUCUUCCCCAAAAUGUGUUCCUCCCUGGGCCUUAGAAAAUUCUUACCUUCUCUAACCCAACCACCAUCACCAACCCCCCAAGAAUUCGGCAGAGAGAGGCUUAGGUUAGUGGAAGGGGACUAACUUCAGAGA
rnacentral:lncRNA from 1 species